rnacentral:lncRNA from 1 species
AUUACAAAGUCAAAAGAUCUAGACAAAAUCCAUCCGGUCCCAGUUACUCGCACAUGCUUACAUCUCCUGUAACAAAAACAAAACUAAUAGAAUGAGUCAUAACUCAGUGAGCUUCAAAAUAAAAUAUGCAAACAAAGUAUCAAUCCCAAAGCAAGUAAUAAAGCGAUGACUAAACAAAUCAAUAAUAGGUAAGCAGGAACAAGUAGCACAUUCAGAUGGAAGGAUACUUUUCUCCCACAUUGGCCACUUAACUCGUAACCGUUGACACUCCGUCAACCUUGGAAUACACUAUCAAGUCCAGUAGAUCACCACUUCACACUAUCUCCGACCAUCGAUCAUCUCCCUUACAGGGCAUGCACGCCAAUCAAGUACAAAUGGCGUAAUACUCGAGUAUACCAAGGCUAAUAACAAGAUACAAGAUCCAUGGUUCAUCGAUCCUCGAUCAAACCCUUGCUGGCUCGAUUUGACCAACUAGCCGAUAGGGAUGGGAUCCCAAAGCAAGUAUAGUCGGUGAGAUGACAACUCCAAUCGAAUUUCAAGUCAUGCACAAAUAUAACGGUUCACAAGUAAACAAGUCGACAAGAAUUCAAGCAAGUUAGGUCCAGUGCAAUAAAGUACAUACUCGCCUUUUCAAUAUCAAAUCAAGAUAUGUAGUAAAAAGUCACAUAGUCCAAAUCAUGCAGUUGAAUACUCACCAAAUGAAUUACUGCUUGUCAACGUCAAGCUCAAACCCUAUACCCUGGUCACUCUCGAUAUCUAUGAGUAAUAUUAUAUAGCAAGUUGCAAUCAAACAACAUUUCAAAAUGCCCAACUUUUCUUGUCAAUAUCAAAGGAAAAUUCAUGUAAAUGUAACCCAUAAGGCUUAGCAAGACAUAUGUGAGGUAUGCUCACAACUUUGGAAGAAAAGCAAUUAGAACUUUCAAAUUUAAAACCGGAUAUAAGCUUAUAGAAAAACUUGCUUGAAGUAAUUAUUACUUCCCUCCUUGUGAAAAUGCAUGAUUUUGGCACAAAAAUCCAGCUUAUGACACAAACAAGGCGGAUUCAAACAACUUUAAGCAAGGCGAGUCCAAACCAUCCUAAAUUCACACCACAACCCUCAUUUUUACUCACCUACGCUACAAGAAGGAAAACGGGCAGCAUCUCCCCUGUUUUGCCUUAACUUUUCCAUCCAAUUUCAAAGCCAAAUUUCAUAGCACAACUACCCAGUCCACAAGUUGUAAGGUAAAAGGGGUUCUUAUACUAGGCCACAAAACUAACUACUUUAGGCAUAUCCUUGGCACAUAUUCAUCAUAUACUCAAGCUGAAAAAUUAAACCCUAGGCUGGAAAUUUACAACCAAAGCUGAAAGAUCCUAUUUUGAAGCUAAAAUUUCAUACUAAAGUUAGAAAUUCCCAUGUUAAGACUAAAAGGGUAUAUCAAAGCUGAAAGUAGCAUCCCAAAGCUUGAAAUUACAUAGCAAAGCUGGAAAAUAACAAACUACUACACAAAACUACAAAAUCUUCCAUACCACAUACUACAAACAAGCCAUAAUCUCAUUCAAAUGCAAGAUUAAAGAGAAAGAGUAGUUCCUUGCCAAGAGUACCUUCAAACCUUAAGAUGAAUAGCAAAAUACAGCUUUCUUUUCCCAAAAAACACUCCACACCAAGGUCCUUCCUUCCUUGUUGCAACCUCCUAUGGAUUGGUUUAGGGUUUGAGGUUGAUUUUCCCACAAAAUCAAAUUAGGAAUCAAAAUGAAAUUUGAAGGAGUUUUUUCUCUUUUCUCUCUUCUCUCUCUUGGCCAAGAAGGAAAACAAAUGAAGAGAGUUUUGUUCCACUAGAUGAUAAAGAUGGAAGAAAGGU